rnacentral:lncRNA from 10 species
CUUAUUUUUUACUUUUUUUCAGAAAUGGGGUUACCCUGUCACCCAGGCUGCAGUGCAGUGGUGCAAUCACAGCUCACUGCAGCCUUGAACUCCUGGGUUCAAGCGAUCCUCCCGCCUCAGCCUCCCAAGUAGCUGGGACUACAGAAGUAUGCCACCAUGCCUGGCUUGGUUUUUUUGUUUUGUUUUGUUUUGUUUUUGUUUUUGUUUUGUGUGUGUGUGUGUGUGUGUUUGAGAUGGGGUCUUGCUGUGUUGCCCAGGCUGGUCUCUAACUCCUGACCUCAAGCGAUCCUCCCUUCUCAGCCUCCCUAGUCUCUGGGAUUGCAGGCAUGAGCUCCUAAGCCCAGCUUCACAUUUAUUUUCAAAAGCUCUUUGCUGGAGGGUCUGCAGAGCCCCACCUUGGGGUAUCAUUGCCUGCACUUAGGAGACUGUAAUGUAAAUGGUGCCUUCUUUAUUUGCCUUCCAGGGGCACUUCCUUGAUGGACACAUAAUCAGGUCAACUUUGACCUCUUGUCCCUGGUUGAGUGGGGAAAUCCCAGAGAGAGGAUCACGUGGUUGUAGGAAGACAAACUUCCAGAUAACUCUUUAAUAGCUUUAAGCUUAAUUCACUUACCAUCUUUUUUGUGGGGGUGGAUGGCAGAUCUUGUUCAUUAAAUGAGUAUUUAUUGACUUUAUAUUAAUUAAGCACCUACUAUAUGCUAGGCACUGUUUUGAACUCAGAUAGCCCCCAUGUGUCUGGGCGUGGGGGAGAUAGAUAUAAUCACAUGAAUGCAUAAUUCUUCAGACAAGGAAUGUUAUUGGAUUUUAAAAUUAUUGGGGAAUAAAAUAACACACAGGACCCAGUGUUGGUGAGGAUAUGGAGCAAUUAGAAUCCUCACAUUGCCGAAGGGAGUGUAAAAGGGCAGAGUCACUUUGGAAAACUCUUUGGCAGUUUAUUAAAAAGUUAAAUAGAUCCUUUUAUAGUUCAUAAGUGUGAUGAUGGGGUGUACAGGGAAAAACUCCAACCCCAUUUUUCCUCUAGCCUCACACCACCACAACAAUCACCAACACAGAAGACUUAUGUGACCAAAUGUGUGGGGUGCUUUCCCCACACACCAGGCACCAGACACCAGCUGGGUGUCCUCCGGUUCAAUUCCAAAACCGUCUACCUAGAGAUAGUGUCAGAUCCUGCAGGUUGGGGGCUCAGCACCCAAGACUGCCCUCCACAUCCCCAGACACCAGUUGCAAGUGCAGGCCUCUGGAACUUCUGACUGACCGGCUUCAAGCUGGGGUUCCCAUGACCCCCUCUUUGGGUUCAGUUAAUUUCUGGAGCAGUUCACAGAACUUAGGGAAACACUUGCUUAUAUUUACUGGUUUAUUAUAAAGAAUAUUACAUGGGAUACAGAUGAAGAGAUGUGGGUAGGGCGAGGUACAGGGGAAGGUCGUGCAGCUUCCAUGCCCUCCCUGGGCACCAGGAACCUCCAGUGUUCAGUUAUCUGGAAGCUCUCUGAACCCUGUCCUCUUGGGUUUUAUGGAAGUUUUAUGACAUCAGCAUUCCUUCCCCCAGGGUAUAGGGUGGGACCCUCGCAGGGGAGGGUCUUAAGACUCACAGUUGGAAGGUGGGGGAAGAUUAGAGUCCUGCCUUGUGGCAGGUGAAAGGAGGACAGGAGAGAGAUUGUGUUUCCCGAUACCUGCCCUUGGGGCCUAACACACCCAACAUUAUAACAAAAAACUAUAACAAGGGCUGUGGGAGUUAGGAAACAAGAACUGUAGACAAAAACCUAUGUAUCAUAUCACAUUGGGUUUUCAUGCUCAUGUGUGAGAAGUGCCUCUUUCAAACCUUGUUCUGACACAUUAUCUUACAUGCAAGGAAAAAAAGCUAAACAUACACUUACCAUCCCACUUCUAGGUAUUUGCCCAAGAAAAAUGAAAACAUACGUUCACACUAAGACUUGUACUCAGCUGUUUCUAGCAGCUUUGUUCAUGACAGCCCCAAACUAGGAGCCACCCAGAUGUCCACCACCAGGUGAAUAGACCAGUAGGUCCAUCCAUCUGAUGGAAUACUUCUCAUUCAUUAAAGGGAAUAAGUACGCUGUGUGUAACAACAGUGGGAUCUCAAAAUUAUGCUUCUGAGAGUGAUGGAAGCCAGACACACAAGACCAUGAACCGCGGUUCCCUUUCUAGAAAGUUCUGGAAAAUGCACACUAACCUACUAAUGUGAAGCCAACCAGUGGUAGCCUGGAAGCUGGGAUGGCAAGAAGAAUCGAUUGCAAAGAGACAAUAGAAAACUUUUGUGGGUGGUGGAAGUAUUCCAUAUUUUAAUUGUGAUCAUUUCACUCAUGUAUUACAUAUUUCAAAAUUAUCGGGCCAGGCGCGGUGGCUCACGCCUGUAAUCCCAAAACUUUGGGAGGCCGAGGCAGGUGGAUCACAAGGUCAGGAGAUCAAGACCAUCCUGGCUAACACAGUGAAACCCCGUCCUUACUAAAAAUACAAAAAAUUAGCCAGGAGUGGUGGCGGGCGCUUGUAGUCCCAGCUACUCGGGAGGCUGAGGUAGAAGAAUGGCGUGAACCCGGGAGGCGGAGCUUGUAGCCAGCCAAGAUCGUGCCACUGCACUCCAGCCUGGGCAACAGAGCAAGACUGCGUCUC